AGCUUUGCACAGUGGCAGAUUCGAAGCCAAUGAGGUUUAUCUGAGGCGCAAUUAUUGCUAAUUGAAAACUUUUCCCAAUACCCUGCCAUGACGACUUGAAAAAAAAAAAAAAGAAUGUUUAAAAGUCACGAGUUUGG